CCUACGGGUGGCAGCAGUGAGGAAUAUUGGUCAAUGGACGAGAGCCUGAUCCAGCCAAGCAGCGUGAAGGAUGACUGCUUUCUGGGCUGUAAACUUCUUUGAUAUGGGAAUAAAUUGGUCCGCGUGUGUGUUUUCGUAGGUACCAUAUGAAUAAGGAUCGGCUAAGUCAGCGCCAGCAGCCGCGGUAAUACGGAGGAUCCGAGCGUUAUCCGGAUUUAUUGGGUUUAACGGGAGCGCAGGUGGAUUGUUAAGUCAGUUGUGAAAGUUUGCGGCUCAACCGUAAAAUUGCAGUUGAAACUGGCAGACUUGAGUACAGUAGAGGUGAGCGGAAUUCGUGGUGUAGCGGUGAAAUGCUUAGAUAUAACGAAGAACUCCGAUUGCGAAGGCAGCUCACUGGACUGCAACUGACACUGAGGCUCGAAAGUGUGGGUAUCAAACAGGAUUAGAUACCCGAGUAGUC
rnacentral:rRNA from 1 species